rnacentral:ncRNA from 2 species
UAGGUCGACUCUGGAGAGCGGUGUGACAACACCCACCGAAGGGGCAGGCGCUCAAUAGUACUGUUUGGACAGGCGGUAAUUAGUGAUUAUCAUUAUGCCGAACCAGACAACAGCAGCGCCAAACUCUCAGGUUUUGGACAGAGGGGCGGCG